GACGUAGGGGGCGAGCGUUGUCCGGAUUUAUUGGGCGUAAAGCGUGCGUAGGCGGCUGCGCAAGUCGGGUGUGAAACCCCGGGGCUCAACCCCGGAACUGCAUCCGAUACUGCGUGGCUAGAGGUAGGUAGGGGAGAUCGGAAUUCCUGGUGUAGCGGUGAAAUGCGCAGAUAUCAGGAGGAACACCGGUGGCGAAGGCGACUACCUGGCCUGUUCUUGACGCUGAGGCGCGAAAGCCAGGGGAGCAAACGGG
rnacentral:rRNA from 1 species